AGAAUUGUUGGAUAAUAAACUUGUUACCCUACCUGACGGGCUGUUGGACGCGACAACCGAAUUGAAAUACCUAGAUUUGGACGGUAAUCAACUUGUUCACCUACCUGACGGGCUGUUCCAAGCCACAACCAAAUUACAAUACCUGUAUUUGCAAAAGAAUAAUCUCCGCUAUCUUCCCGGUGGACUGCCUCAUGACACACCUCACUUAAUUGAUCUAUAUCUUGAGCACGCAGUCUCACUCAACCUUCGCUUGUGUGCUUUCAAGUUCCCGAAGGACUUUUCACAAGGCCAUAUCUUAUAUGGAGCUCGUGUAAAGAAUUAUAUUGCUUCAU